UACAGGGGGUGCAAACGUUGCUCGGAAUUAUUGGGCGUAAAGCGCGCGUAGGCGGCUAUCUAAGUCGGAUGUGAAAGCCCCUGGCUUAACUGGGGAAGUGCACCCGAAACUGGGUAGCUAGAGUGCGAAAGAGGGUCGCGGAAUUCCCGGUGUAGAGGUGAAAUGCGUAGAGAUCUGGAGGAACACCGAUGGCGAAGGCAGCCUUCUGGGCCAACACUGACGCUCAUGCACGAAAGCGUGGGGAGCAAACAGG
rnacentral:rRNA from 1 species